rnacentral:rRNA from 1 species
CCUACGGGAGGCAGCAGUGGGGAAUAUUGGACAAUGGGCGAAAGCCUGAUCCAGCAAUGCCGCGUGAGUGAUGAAGGCCUUCGGGUCGUAAAGCUCUUUUACCAGGGAUGAUAAUGACAGUACCUGGAGAAUAAGCUCCGGCUAACUCCGUGCCAGCAGCCGCGGUAAUACGGAGGGAGCUAGCGUUGUUCGGAAUUACUGGGCGUAAAGAGUACGUAGGCGGUUAUUCAAGUCAGAGGUGAAAGCCCGGGGCUCAACCCCGGAACUGCCUUUGAAACUAGAUAACUAGAGUCUUGGAGAGGUUAGUGGAAUUCCGAGUGUAGAGGUGAAAUUCGUAGAUAUUCGGAAGAACACCAGUGGCGAAGGCGACUAACUGGACAAGUACUGACGCUGAGGUACGAAAGCGUGGGGAGCAAACAGGAUUAGAUACCCUGGUAGUCCACGCCGUAAACGAUGAUAACUAGUUGUUCGGUCACUUGGUGACUGAGUGACGCAGCUAACGCAUUAAGUUAUCCGCCUGGGGAGUACGGUCGCAAGAUUAAAACUCAAAUGAAUUGACG